rnacentral:rRNA from 1 species
UGAGGAAUUUUGCGCAAUGGGCGUAAGCCUGACGCAGCGACGCCGCGUGGAGGAAGACGGCCUUCGGGUUGUAAACUCCUGUCAGGGGUGAAGAAACUUCGCAAGAAGCUGACGGUAACCCCAGAGGAAGCCCCGGCUAACUACGUGCCAGCAGCCGCGGUAAUACGUAGGGGGCAAGCGUUGCUCGGAAUUACUGGGCGUAAAGGGGGUGUAGGCGGCUGAGUAAGUCAAGGGUGAAAUCCCGAGGCUCAACUUCGGAACGGUCCUUGAUACUGGUCAGCUUGAGGCUAGUAAAGGAGAGCGGAAUUCCCGGUGGAGCGGUGAAAUGCGUAGAUAUCGGGAGGAACACCAGAGGCGUAGGCGGUUCUCUAGGCUAGUCCUGACGCUGAGACACGAAAGCUAGGGGAGCAAACG